AACGCGAAGAACCUUACCUGGUCUUGACAUCCACGGAAUUCGGCAGAGAUGCCUUAGUGCCUUCGGGAACCGUGAGACAGGUGCUGCAUGGCUGUCGUCAGCUCGUGUUGUGAAAUGUUGGGUUAAGUCCCGCAACGAGCGCAACCCUUAUCCUUUGUUGCCAGCGGUCCGGCCGGGAACUCAAAGGAGACUGCCAGUGAUAAACUGGAGGAAGGUGGGGAUGACGUCAAGUCAUCAUGGCCCUUACGACCAGGGCUACACACGUGCUACAAUGGCAUAUACAGAGAGAAGCGACCUCGCGAGAGCAAGCGGACCUCAUAAAGUAUGUCGUAGUCCGGAUUGGAGUCUGCAACUCGACUCCAUGAAGUCGGAAUCGCUAGUAAUCGUGGAUCAGAAUGCCACGGUGAAUACGUUCCCGGGCCUUGUACACACCGCCCGU
rnacentral:rRNA from 1 species